rnacentral:rRNA from 1 species
UACGGGGGGGGCAAGCGUUGUUCGGAAUUACUGGGCGUAAAGGGCUCGUAGGCGGCCAACUAAGUCAGACGUGAAAUCCCUCGGCUUAACCGGGGAACGGCGUCUGAUACUGGAUGGCUUGAAUCCGGGAGAGGGAUGCGGAAUUCCAGGUGUAGCGGUGAAAUGCGUAGAUAUCUGGAGGAACACCGGUGGCGAAGGCGGCAUCCUGGACCGGUAUUGACGCUGAGGAGCGAAAGCCAGGGGAGCAAACGGG